AAGGAUAUAUCAUAUACAAUGCAUUAAUACAGUGAAAAAAUUAAGUAGUUUUGAAGGUGAUUUUUUUCUUGGUCUGCAGCUGAAAGAAAAGAAAGCAAGACAAGUAAAGAAUAAAACAGUUGUUAAAAUUCCAGAACUAAUCUGAAUGCUCUGCUGAACGAGAGGUCAGUGUUUUCUAAAAAAACAGAGUUUAGCGGUGAAACUAAUGGACACUAAAAGAUUUUUCCUAUUUUGUCCUCCUUAGUUCUCCAUGCAAUUCCAUAAGGCUAGCUACAUAUCUGACAAUAGAAUUAUUUGCAUAUCGAAUCUUUGAUGGUGACAGUUUUGAAAUUCAACUCUUUGAGGGUAAAUCUUUGCUUGCUCUCUAUCUGAAUUCAAAUAAUACAGAAAAUAAGUACAGCAGAGACAACCAACUGUUAGUCAUAUUGGAACAGUAAUAUGAUUGCUCUGCUACACGACUAGAAAGAAAACACACAAAGAAACCGAUGGAAAGUGAAAGAUCAUGGGCUGUCAGAAUUUUCCAUCCUGUUCUUAUUUUAUGACAUGUUAAACUGUGAAGAAAAGUACUUCAAAGCUCAGAAACAAGAGGCUGCUCUUCGUCGGUGACUCAAUCAAUAGGAACAAAUUGGUCUCCCUGGUGUGCAUGCUCGAUUCCUCCAUUCCUAAGAACAUAGGAGGCAUGCAUAACACUUUCUGUCAGCUGACUUAUACAAAUUCUGGUCGUCGCUGAUACUGGAAUCAAGCAACAACAUUCUGAUAAUCUACCGGAUGGAGUACCAGAUCAUAAGGUAUAAAAUUAAGAAGCAUUCCAUUAUACAUAGAGGAACGGUGAAUCAGAAGGCCAAUAUGAGGAUGAAGGUCAUGUAUGCCUCAUUUGACGAUGGUGAUGCAAAGCUCGACGAAGUGAAGAUGGUCUAAGGUUUUGAGAUCUCUCUCAAGAAGCUAACUAAUUAGCUGGGAAUGAACAUCACCAAAAUGACUAAAAUCUAUUUCGCUGGCUCAUCGCCUAACCAUACUGGGAAAGCGUGUGGGGUGGAGACGACAACAAGGCGUAGCCGAUCCCGGAUGCUGGGGAUGAAGAGGUCACCACAGACUGCAGCAUGAUGGGCCAUGCUGGAGAUAUCUUCAGAACACUGAAGACGACGCCCCAGAUUGCCAACACCAGCUCUACGUGGGCUGUACACUUUGGUGUUUCACAGGUGCUAUUGGCAUAUGAAACUGAUGUCAAUCAGUGACGCCCAGUGUAUGAACUAACAAGAAAGAAAACUCUUGCAUCAUCAUUGUACUUCAUAAGCUACUUUUGACUGACUAUGAAAAAUAUACCCUCUAGAUGCAA